rnacentral:SRP_RNA from 1 species
GCCGGGCAUGGUGGCGGGUGCCUGUAAUCUCAGCUACUUGAGAGGCUGAGGUGGGAGAAUUGCUUGAACCCAGGAGGCGGAGGUUGCAGUGAGUCAAGAUCGCGCCACUGCACUCCAGCCUGGGUGACAGAGCGAGACUCCAUCUUAA